rnacentral:lncRNA from 1 species
AGCGAGUAACGGAAAAUUUAGUGAAAACCUUUCUUGUGUUUAAUUUCUCCAUUUCUUAAUCAAUCAAAGUUCUCCUUCCAUAGCCGUAAUCAAAUUCAGUUGUAAUAGUUUGUCACCGCUUAAACUAUCUUAUUAUCUCUGUAUUCCUUAGAGCCACCAACGAGAACGUUGAUUCGAACGCAGAAAGAUGAUAAGAAUGCAGUUGCGGAAGAAGAGAACAGAAAUGAAAUUAAACUCCAAAACGACGUCGCUCAACGAAUCACUUUCGCUUUCUUCAAGCCACGACCACGACGAUCUCUCUCGAUUCAAAAAAACCUUAUCGGAACAUGUUGAACAAGUAGCCAUUACUUGUAAAGAACGACGACGAUUGAUUCAGUUGCGGAAGAAAAGGAAAAAAAACUCGCAAUAACGGAACGCCAAAACGACGCCGUCGCUCAAACACAGCCAAAACGAUGUCGUUGAUCAAUGAAUCACGCUCGCUUUCUUCUUCGUCUUCGCUCGAUUCAGAACAAAUAGCCGUUAGGAAAAAACGAGAAAAAGUGAAAUGAAUAUUCAGUUACUAUAACCGAUCGUUUGCGUUCUGCGACACACAUCGAAGCAGGGAAAGAACGAAGGGGAAAUUAGGACCGCAUAUUCUCUUGCAUUAAGACCGCAUAUUCUCUUGCAUUAAGACCGCCUCCUUUGGCGUCUCUAUUGCUGCCGGCGAUGGACAUGAUCAUUGAUCACACACGAGGUAGCAUUUAACUUUUCAAGUUUUUUGUUGUUGCCUUGAGUUUUUUGUCGUGGCCUUUUUUUGGUUUGUUAUAUGCUAGAGAGGAGAAAAAUUAUGUUAUGUAGCAAGAAUUUAGAUAUAACACAAUUAUACAUAAGAACAAAGAUUAAUAUAUAGUAUGAAUAACAUGAAAAAUGUAACUGAUCUUGAGUCAAAUGAUUGUCAUUUCACUGAUUUAAUAAGCUGCAAUAUAUAUUAUUAUCUUCUGUUUAUGCAUUAUUGCGGCGUAAUACAGUGAAAAUUAAGAGGGUGGUUAAAGCAAUAUGAAAUCCAAAUGUGUUCUACUGAUGCAUUUGAUAAGGCUUAACCAUAUCUGGUGGUGCUUACCCAUCUAAAUAUUUAGUUCUCCAAAAACUUGUUAAUUCUAGGUUGCUUGUUGCUAACGCCUCUGUAGAAACGCUGUUCCUAUUGCGAGAACCUCUCAGGAGUUUAUUGUAGAACCGUAAUUCAACCCUAUCAAGUAUGGAAUGGUCUGUUUAUUGUUGUUUCUUAUGUUUUGCCUCAAACAUUUAACUUACAAUAAUUUGGAUUAUUAAGUGAAGUCGAUGACUUAAAUCCACUAGGCUAAUCUUCGUUUCUUUGAUUUCUUGUCUUUUACUUUUUAUUUUCUUGUCAACUCUACAUAACAUGUUUUGGGUUUUCUUUGUCUUUUACGCUGGAAAGCAAUAAUUAGAAGUUAUUUGUCUUUUACGCUGCAAAGCAAUAAUCAGAAGUAGCUGUUACUACUACUAUGGGGGUGGGAAGAGGAAUCGUACUCAUCUGGUAAUGCCUCAAGAAUGAUUUCAAUCAAAUUAUGUGGUACAGGAUCUCCAAUGGAGAUUAAGAAUUCAUUGAUAUUGAUAGUGCAAAUACAAAGAAGAAAUUCAUCAAUCUUACAACCUCCUUUUGUAAGACUUCACAACUCAGAGCGAAGUUGGCGUGCUUUGGUAGUGAGCAAGGUAUGAAAAUGACAAUGAAUUUCCCCCAAACUUGCCACACGUAGUGACAAUCAAUGAGUUUCGUAAGAAGCGAAUCUGAAAUUGUCGAGAGAAUCCAGGUGCAGAUGAGAGCAUCUUGUUGCUCCCGUUCAAGAUACAAAGGAUUGAUAUGAUUUACAUCACAAUCUGCAUCAUUGAGAAAACGCAAAGGUACCAGCUUGUGUGAUGAAUAUCUAAACCUUGUGACCAUGAUUUACACUGUCAAUUUGUUGGUGCCACUAUUUGAAGUUUUUAUCAUCAAUUUUACAAAGAUUAGAUGAGACAAUUUCACAUGAGAAUAAGAAGAAGUCGUCGGGUAAUUGAAUUGAAUAUUCUAAAUUGAUUGCAAGUGGUGAUCUUCAUUUAUAUGAAGAGAUCAGUUUGAUACAAAUUUUGCUAAUUGACUUUAACUAAUAAAAUGUUCUAGAAGCUGAAUUAGUUGGAACCAACAACUUGCAUAACAACUUAAGCACUAUUAAGUGAACAAACUAUCUCUAAUAUGAGAAACAAGUAUAAGUGAAGAAACUAUCUUAAAAGUGUUUUUUCUUUUCUUUAUUAGUUAUGUUUGUUUGAUAGAAUAUUGAACAUGCUUGAAAUGUAACAAGUAAUUAGAAAAUUGAUGCAUAACAUAAAUAUCUUUUGUUGAAAAAAGGACACAUAUUUCCUACAGGUAGGACUUUGCAUAAUAUAACCCAC